ACAACCAGCACAAAAUACAAAACAGGGGAGAAACACAAGUGCAAUCCACAGAACAAAACCAGAGUUUAUAAACCAAUUAUAGUUUUCAGUAAUCAGAAACCAGCUUUUUCAAUGCUUUUCCUGUAUUGCCUUCACUGUAAUAUGACUCGUAUAAAAAGCCAAAGCACAGUUUUUUUUUACUCAAAAUUAAGUGUCAACUUGGGGAUUUCUGGAAUGCAUUCUGAGUCCUCUAGUUUUUUGUAGUGUAGAGGUGUUAGUUUUCAUGCUGUGAGCAGGCGCUAAGUACUGCUGAAAAAGGAAAUCCGCAUCUCCAUAAAGCUUGUCAACAGAUGGAAGCAUUACGUGCUCUAAAAUCUCCUGGUAGACAGAUACAUUGACUGUGAGCUUGAUGAAACACAGUGGACCAACACCAGAAGAUGAUAUGGCACCCCAAAUCAUCAGACUGUGUAAACUUCACACUGGACUUCAAACAGCUUGGAUUCUGUGCCUUUCCACUCUUCCCCUAGACUCCAGGAACUUGAUUUGCAAAGUUUACUUUCAUCUGAGAAAAGGACUUUAGACCACUGAGCAACAGUGCAGUUCUUCUCCCUCUAAACCCAGACCAGAGCAACAACAAGCUGCCAGGACAUCAGAACAAACUGCAGCAGAGGUGUACAACAACAACACCACCAGUUCCAAGCCACAACAUCGUCACCUCCUAUGGGCUCCCUCUAAAGGUUGAGAAUGAUGAAAAGCAAAGUAACACCCCUGCGGGCCAGCCUCAGAACACUGCCUACGGGCUGCGGGAGUACUGCAUUCUCAGCAAGUCAACUGGAGAACAGAAAACUGAGCCCUCGGAUCUCAAAGUGAGAUGGGGGAAGGAAGAGUUUUACUGAAAAGUGAGGUGGUGACAUUUAAAGAUGUUUACUGUGUGUUUGAACGUUUGGCACACAGCUCUAGAACAGAAAAACAGCUAUUAAUGAGAAAAACCAUGCAGCUUAUUAAAAAAAAUCCUGUGAGGGGUCGACCUGCUGGGCUUUACACAUCAUAUCUAUGGACUUUUUAAAAUUCUUCAUGGUUUUGCCUGAGUAUUUCAACCUGAAUAAAGAAACUGCAUGUA